CGAGCUGGGUUUAGAACGUCGUGAGACAGUUCGGUCCCUAUCUGCCGUGGGCGCUGGAGAACUGAGGGGGGCUGCUCCUAGUACGAGAGGACCGGAGUGGACGCAUCACUGGUGUUCGGGUUGUCAUGCCAAUGGCACUGCCCGGUAGCUAAAUGCGGAAGAGAUAAGUGCUGAAAGCAUCUAAGCACGAAACUUGCCCCGAGAUGAGUUCUCCCUGACCCUUUAAGGGUCCUGAAGGAACGUUGAAGACGACGACGUUGAUAGGCCGGGUGUGUAAGCGCAGCGAUGCGUUGAGCUAACCGGUACUAAUGAACCGUGAGGCUUAACCUUACAACGCCGAAGGUGUUU
rnacentral:rRNA from 1 species